rnacentral:rRNA from 1 species
CGCGGUAAUACGUAGGUGGCAAGCGUUGUCCGGAAUUAUUGGGCGUAAAGCGCACGUAGGCGGCCCGUUAAGUCUCGAUGUGAAAGCCCGCGGCUCAACCGCGGGACUGCACGGGAUACUGGGGGGCUGGAGACAGGUAGAGGCGAGCGGAAUUCCGGGUGUAGCGGUGGAAUGCGUAGAGAUCCGGAAGAACACCAGAGGCGAAGGCGGCUCGCUGGACCUUGUCUGACGCUGAGGUGCGAAAGCGUGGGGAGCGAACAGG